GCUUGGGGGCGUGCCUAUACAUGCAGUCGAACGCUUUGUGGUUCACUGAUUUGAAGAGCUUGCUCAGAUAUGACGAUGGACAUUGCCAAGAGUGGCCAACGGGUGAGUAACACGUGGGAAACCUACCUCUUAGCAGGGGAUAACAUUUGGAAACAGAUGCUAAUACCGUAUAACAAUGACAACCGCAUGGUUGUUAUUUAAAAGAUGGUUCUGCUAUCACUAACAGAUGGUCCCGCGGUGCAUUAGCUAGUUGGUAAGGUAAUGGCUUACCUAGGCGAUGAUGCAUACCCGAGUUGAGAGACUGAUCGGCCACAAUGGGACUGAGACACGGCCCAUGCUCCUACCGGAGGCAGGCCGAUGGAAUCUUCCACUCUGGGCGAAAGCCUGAUGGAGCAACGCCAUUAGUGUGAUGAAGGGUUUCGGCUCGUAAAAACCUUCUCUAAGAGAAGAAUGACCUUUCUAGUAACUGUUCACUGUGUGACUGUCUCUUACCUAAAAGGAACGGCUCAGUACCCGCCAGCUAUCCCCUGAAUACAUAUGUGCCUCCCACUAUCCAGAUUUCUUGGGCCCAAACUGAG
rnacentral:rRNA from 1 species